ACGUACUCUUUAGCCAAAGGGCAAAAGAACACGAUGUUUGGAAUCCUGCGAGUCACUCGAUCUGCACCGCCGUCACGCACGUGCGGGAAGGAACCACCCGGUCUUUUUAUUCAACAAUUUACGCUCGCCCCCAAUUAGUUCCCAAAUCUGCAAUCUCUUUCGAUCACUCGGAAAAAGCCAUGCCCCUAUCCCCUGAUGUCCAGGGCGACCAAGGCCAGAUCCUGGUCCGCCUGAAGCGGCCCCAUUCGUCCUCGUCGGAAGACCCUAGCCAGGACCAGAACCUAACCCUAACCCCUGUCACGGCUGAAGACCUUGAUGUCCAGGGCGGCCAGCACCAGGAGCCGGACCCGGUCCAGGUCCAGCCGGCGAAGCCCUCUGGAGACCCUGAUGUUCCGGGCGGCGAGCACCAUGACCCGGACCCGGCCAUGCCCCUAUCCCCUAUCGAGGUCCGCCUGAAGCGGCACCAUUCGUCCUUGUUCGACUCUGAUGUUGCGAAGCGGCCCCGUUCGUCCUUGUUCUCUGAAGACCCUGAUGUUCCGGGCGGCCAGCACCACGACCCGGACCCGGCCAUGCCCCUAUCCCCUAUAGUGGUCCGCCUGAAGCGGCACAAUUCGUCCUUGUUCGAAGACCGUAUACAUGACCAGAACCUAACCCCUGUCACGGAAGACUCUGAUGUUGCGAAGCGGCCCCGUUCGUCCUUAUCCUCUGAAGACCCUGAUGUCCAGGGCGGCCAGCACCAGAACCCGGACCCGGUCCAGCCCGUGAAGCCCUCAGAACCAGUAAGCCGUACGCUGAAGGAGAUUCUCGAUGAGUGCGGCCCGA
rnacentral:lncRNA from 1 species